GAACUGCGAUAAGUAAUGUGAAUUGCAGAAUUCAGUGAAUCAUCGAGUCUUUGAACGCACAUUGCGCCCCCUGGCAUUCCGGGGGGCAUGCCUGUCCGAGCGUCAUUGCUGCCCUUCAAGCCCGGCUUGUGUGUUGGGUCGUCGUCCCCUCCGGGGGACGGGCCCGAAAGGCAGCGGCGGCACCGCGUCUGGUCCUCGAGCGUAUGGGGCUUUGUCACCCGCUCGAUAAGGACCGGCCGGGCGCCAGCCGGCGUCUCCAACCUUUUUUUCUCAGGUUGACCUCGGAUCAGGUAGGGAUACCCGCUGAACUUAAGC
rnacentral:misc_RNA from 1 species